UACGUAGGGUGCGAGCGUUAAUCGGAAUUACUGGGCGUAAAGCGUGCGCAGGCGGCGCCGCAAGUCAGACGUGAAAGCCCCGGGCUUAACUUGGGAACUGCGUUUGAAACUACGGUGCUGGAGUGUGGCAGAGGGAGGUGGAAUUCCACGUGUAGCGGUGAAAUGCGUAGAGAUGUGGAGGAACACCGAUGGCGAAGGCAGCCUCCUGGGCUAACACUGACGCUCAUGCACGAAAGCGUGGGGAGCAAACAGG
rnacentral:rRNA from 1 species